ACAAGAAAUCGCUUUGAAGGCACUAGAUCAGAAGUGGAAUCACUGAUGAAAAAGAUGAAGGAGAAUCCCCUUGAGCACAAGACCAUCAGUCCCUACACCAUGGAGGGAUACCUCUACGUGCAGGAGAAACGUCACUUUGGAACUUCUUGGGUGAAGCACUACUGUACAUAUCAACGGGAUUCCAAACAAAUCACCAUGGUACCAUUUGACCAAAAGUCAGGAGGAAAAGGGGGAGAAGAUGAAUCAGUUACCCUCAAAUCCUGCACACGGCGGAAAACAGACUCCAUUGAGAAGAGGUUUUGCUUUGAUGUGGAAGCAGUAGACAGGGAAAAGACCCAGGAAAAUUGAAGGUUGGUGAAAGUCAGAAUAGUGGAGGCCAGAAAGAUUUUUGAAAGAUCUGAAGAAUCUCCUGGAACCCUCAGCACCCUCAUUUCAAAUAUGUUUGUAUGGCAGGCUGCAUGAUGCAGGUAAAAAAGAUAAGAGCAUUCCUAAAUUUGAAUUUGGGAUCUGUUCCUUACUAGCUGUGUGACUCUGGGUAAGUGGUUUAACCACAUCUGUAAGAUGGGGUGAGUUAUCACUACAUUGUAGGAUUUUUUCUGAAGGUGGAACACACUAAUAUUCCCCUCUGAUGGAGUCUUAUGUCUGAAAACAUGGCUGUUGAAUUUUUUACUAUACCCUAAAACCUGGGACUUUAUUGUUGUGAUGGUGAACCUUAGCUUUGGUGGAUAUUCCUGUGAGCCUGCUUUUUGUCUUAAUGGUGCUCCUUUUCCUGUAGUGUCAUGAGUUUUCAAGUUAUCUAUAAGCUGAGAGGAAAUACAGGUACAUUCAGGUUAUAUGUGCGAAGGGCCUGCUAGGGUAAGAUUCCAUUUUCAAACUGUGUAUGUGAUAACCUGUUAUUGAUACAUACUUC
rnacentral:sRNA from 1 species